UUUCAAAUGGUUCUCCAAUUAUAGAAAAAAUGUUGUGGAAAAGCACUUUUAUCAUAGAUGAAAAGUACUUGCAUCUUGUAACUUUUUGCUGUUUUCUUUCUUUUUAAUAAGUAUUUUUUUGUACAGGAAAAGCCACUCUGGAACAAUACAAUAUCCUCUAUGUUUGAUAGAGACAUGUUCCUUCUCUUUUUUAUUUCAACCCCCCCCUUUUUUUUUCUCAUAUUUUGUUAUUAGUAAUGGUGACAAACCAUCAGGAAUCUAGAGCUAUUGCUUCCCGGCAGUUAUGAUCAGAGGUGAGAAGGAAAGGAGGGAAAAGAGGACUUAGUGGGUUGAAAUGGGUCAUGGUUUUCACUGAAAUCCAGGAAUAAAUUUCCAGGAUUUCUCUUCCAUUCUGUUAAAGUACAAGCCUUUUCAACCGAUUCUGCAGUUUCACACGUGUAAAUUACUCAUGAUUUUGGCAUUCUCUGGGCAUUUAUCUUGGAUGAUUUCCAUAAGCCACAGAUAAAACAAAUUUUCUGCAGUUUUGUGUGUGGCUGUUACCUUGGAAUUUGUACUGGAACACUGUUUCUUCUGGGUUGCAAUCCCUUUCCAUAGGGCUGUGCCCUCUGGUUUUGAGUUGAGGAAGACUUAACCUGUGGUUUCUAAGGAGAGGAAGCAAAUUCUUGAGCAAUGGAUGAAAAGGAGGUCUCGAGCUCACACUUGAUCUCUGAAGGCAAAAGUAAUAAUGUUUAUCCGAUCUAUUUUGGUAUUUCUUGUGCAUUCUCUGCCCUCAGGCUGAUUUCAGGGCCUGACGAGGAUGAUGAAAAAUGGUCCAAGAUACGGGAUAGAAUGCUUCAAGGAACCGCUCAACUCUUGGGAUUGCUGGUAUGGAAUGUUCAAAGAGAAGGAAACAAUGUGGGGAAGUCUGAGCUUCUCCAUAUGCUUCAGGUUGCUGAGAAAGAAGUUGAAGAGUUGAAGAAACUGAGACGUGAAGAUGCAAAAGCCAAUGAGAAAGUUGUGAGCAUCUAUGCUGCACAAGAACAGACCUGGUUCAGCGAAAGGAAGAGGCUUCGGCAGCAAAUUGGAGCUCUUUUUAAUGAAUUCAGGGUUCUUCAGACAAAGAAGGAUGGAGCUCUCUCGGAAUUGAAUGAAAAAAUAAAGGAGUUAGAGCUUUUGAUACAGUCUAAGGAUAAGGUAUUGGAGGAAGAAGAGCGAAAGAAGAAAGAGUUAGAAGAACAGCUAAAGAAGGCUGAAGAUGCAGCAGAGGAAUUGAGAGUAGCUGCAAAACAUGCAGCUCAAGAGCAUUCUUCUGAGCUUUGGAAGCACAAAACUACCUUUCUUGAGCUUGUUUCAAACCAGAGGCAGCUUGAAGCAGAGAUGGGUCGAGCCCUGAGGCAAGUAGAAGCAGGAAAACAAGAGCUUGAUUCAGUCUUGGAGCAAAAGGAGGAAUCGGUCUUGAUGGUCCAAAAGCUAUCCAUGGAGAUUGUAAAGAUGCGAAAAGACUCUGAACAGAAAGACAAAAUUUUGUCUGCUAUGCUGAGGAAAUCCAAAUUGGAUACAUCAGAAAAGCAGAUGCUUUUAAAAGAGGUUAAAUUAUCGAAGGCAAAGAGAAAGCAAGCUGAGCUAGAGACAGAAAGGUGGCGGGCAGCUUCUGAGUCUAGACAUGAGAGGCAUUCAUUGAAAAGCUUUUUGUCUAACCAAAUUUAUGGUGCAAAAGGGGCGAAUCCUAAUGCAACCGCAUCAUCACAGAUUGGAAGGACCAGAUCACAGCCAGCUGAUCUUCUUCUUGAGUAUGUGCAACCUGAGCUUAGAGACGAGUCAGAAAACCUCUCUCUCCUUUCUGAACAAUACCCUUCAGAAGAAAAUGAAGAACUAGUGAUAGCAACUGAUGUUAAGCAGUUGGAAGGUUGGGUGCGCUCAGAAGCAGAAAAGUAUGCAACUCUAAUUGAGCAGAGGCAUCACCUGGAAAUAGAUGCUUUUGCAGAACAAAUGAGACUCAAAGAUGAGAAGUUAGAAGCUUUUCGGUGGCGGUUGAUGAGCAUGGAGCUAGAAUCAAAGAGGCUGCAGUCACAUGUUGAGGGGCUGAACCAGGAUAUGUCACAGCUCCGACAAAAGAAUGUGAAACUUGAAGCCUUGUUAAUGAGCCGGGAAGCAGAAUUAACUUCCUUGAAAGAGCAGUUGACAUUGCAUUUAAACCCCUUAAUUUUCCCAAAGACCAACUUCAAUUCAUCUCCACCUGAUCCAGCUUUAGCCCAUGAUACCAUUUGGUCCAAAGUUAAGAUCAUAAAGGGAAAAUUGGGGGAGGAAGAGCAAGAAAUAAAGACGAGUACAGUGGAAAUUUCUGAAGAGGUGGAGCAUGAGAAAGAAGAGGAUAGUCCAUUUGUAAAACAGUCUAGAGAAACAAUUUUGACAGUCCAAUCCCCAGAAAAAGAGUUUGAAGAAGAAAAGGUUGUGCCCCUCUGCCCAAGUUCCAUUCAACAUCAACAUGCGAGCAGCCCAGAGAAGGUUGAUAUUGUUGAAAAGUUAGCACCAGUGGGUCAGUCCUUGAGUAAGAAAAAUAAUACUCCAUGGAAGAUGGAUCUUCAUGCUCUUGGAGUCUCUUACAAGAUCAAGAGGCUGAAACAGCAGCUUGUCAUGCUUGAGAGGUUGACUGGAAAGCAAGAAAGUGGUGAAGAUAGGGAAAGUGAUGAGAAAGGGCAGUUGGGAAUAAAGGGUUUUCUUUUGUUAAUGUUUUUACUGAAUAAACAAGUUAGCAGGUACCAGUCCCUCCAAGAGAAGAUAGACGAUCUUUGCAAACGAAUGCAUGAGAGUGAUGUAGAUACAGGCCGAGGAGAUUCCAGUAGUUCAAGAGCAAGGGAGGAAACUAAAGCACUUGAACACUUUCUUGAGGACACAUUUCAGCUGCAGAGAUACAUGGUUUCAACAGGGCAGAAAUUGAUGGAAAUGCAAUCCAAGAUUGCUUCUGGAUUCCUUGGAGUUGCUGAAGAUCUGGAUGGGUCUGCCAAUUUUGACAUGAAGCGGUUUGCUGAUAAUAUUAGAACUCUCUUUAGGGAAGUUCAAAGAGGUCUUGAAGUUCGAAUCGCUCGAAUUAUUGGAGACCUUGAGGGAACCCUGGCAUGUGAGGGGAUCAUUCAUUUAAGGAGGUAGAAAUGUGAACUAUAAGAUCAAGAUGAAGGCUCAAUAAGGAAUCAAAUAUCCUGAUGCAGAAAAGCAUAUAUCUUUCAAUGACCUGUGCUUGCCAAAUGUUGAUGGCCUCUUCCAGCCAAGAUGUGUCUGCUGAAUUCAUGAAAAGUGUCACAGCUGGUUGAUGAUGAGGAUGGAGCAAACAGAAAGGGACCCCAAAGCGCAUUGAAUCCUCCAAUCCACGAGCUCCUCCUAACAGGGACCCCAUGACACAUGACAGCAUGAGUGGUAUUCGCUGUUUUUGUAGCAGAAAAACAUGCAUGGGGAGGUAAGUUUCUGUUGGCCCACUUGUGAUUAGUUCUGAAAUUAAUGGUUUCGAAUAGGAGCAGGAUGGGAUGUGACCCGGGGCAAGGCCGGAAGAACAUGGGUUUGUUAGGGAGAAUGGCUGGGGAUGAGGUCUCAUGUCUCAGUCGGUUUGAAUGGGGACCAUCUGCUUCUGUUCCCUCUUUCUUCAACAUAAUUUCAAUUGGAUUUUGGGGUGGUUGUGUUGGGCUUUUAGCCAUUUAUUGUGGCCUGUGGGUGGUGAUCUCUUCUCAUCCACUCCGCUUUUCUCUUUUCUAGGUGGUAAUGCCCAAUGGGGUCUCUCUUUAAUUAAAAGGUUUGGGACAAAAAUGUGCCAAAGAGUUCAUGCAAAUUUUACUUUUUUUCUUUAUAUAAGGGGGAAUUCAUUUGUUAUUUAUCCUAACUGCCAGUGAAGCAAAUUUCAGAUGA